UACGUAGGGCGCAAGCGUUGUCCGGAAUUAUUGGGCGUAAAGAGCUCGUAGGCGGUUUGUCGCGUCUGCUGUGAAAACCUAAGGCUCAACCUUGGGCUUGCAGUGGGUACGGGCAGACUAGAGUGCGGUAGGGGUGACUGGAAUUCCUGGUGUAGCGGUGGAAUGCGCAGAUAUCAGGAGGAACACCGAUGGCGAAGGCAGGUCAGCUGGGCAU
rnacentral:rRNA from 1 species